rnacentral:rRNA from 1 species
UACGGAGGGUGCAAGCGUUAAUCGGAAUUACUGGGCGUAAAGCGUGCGUAGGCGGCCUGUUAAGUCGGACGUGAAAUCCCCGGGCUCAACCCGGGAACUGCAUCCGAUACUGGCAGGCUUGAAUUCGGGAGAGGGAUGCGGAAUUCCAGGUGUAGCGGUGAAAUGCGUAGAUAUCUGGAGGAACACCGGUGGCGAAGGCGGCAUCCUGGACCGACAUUGACGCUGAGGCGCGAAAGCCAGGGGAGCAAACGGG